UAGAAAGAAAUUCUGCAGUUAACAAAAU
rnacentral:piRNA from 1 species